rnacentral:rRNA from 1 species
GCUAGUAAUGGCAGGUCAGCAUACUGCCGUGAAUACUUCCCGGGCCCUUGUACACACCGCCCGUCACACCAUGAGAGUUGGGGAUACCCGAAGCCUGUGAGCUAACAGUAAUGAAGCAGCAGUCGAAGGUAGAAUCAAUGAUUGGGGUGAAGUCGUAACAAGGUACC